UGGUGACUAUAGCAAGGAGGUCACACCUGUUCCCAUGCCGAACACAGAAGUUAAGCUCCUUAGCGUCGAUGGUAGUCGAACUUAGAGUAGAACGUUGCCAGGCA
rnacentral:rRNA from 1 species